rnacentral:pre_miRNA from 1 species
CAGUCUUCUUCUGUGUCAGUUACUCGUAUCCCUUAUUAAUACGAGUAACUGAUCGUAUUAAUAAGGGAUACAAGUAACUGACACAGAAGAAGACUGC